AUCCAGCUGGUGGAAGAGUCCCAAAUAGGACGAAAUGGGAAUCCUGGAU
rnacentral:hammerhead_ribozyme from 1 species